rnacentral:lncRNA from 1 species
AGGUCAAAACUAGAAAACUAUGUCCGGGCUCCGCCGAGGCAGAAGGAUCCCUUCAGGCCAGGAGUUAAAGAGCGGCCUGGGCAACAUGGCGCGACCCCAUCUCUGUAGUCCCUCCUCAGCUUCCCAGAUACUUGAACCCCAAGGUUCAAGGCUGCAGUGAGCUAUGAUCCCAUCACAGCACUCCAUCCUGCGAGACUGAGAGAAAUGGAAUAAUUGUAUUGCUGAUCUACAUAAACAAGUUGAAGAAUUGUCUGAAAGAAAAUAUGGUGUGUCUAAACUGGAAAAGUCCUGUGAUAGUUUGUUCAUGAGCAUUUACACAAUGGAGUUACUGUUCAUCAUGGGGGUACUGUGGACAAGCCCAGGG